UACAGAGGUCCCAAGCGUUGUUCGGAAUUACUGGGCGUAAAGGGCGCGUAGGCGGCCAUCUAAGUCAGACGUGAAAUCCCCCGGCUUAACCUGGGAACUGCGUCUGAUACUGGACGGCUUGAGUAUGGGAGAGGGAUGUAGAAUUCCAGGUGUAGCGGUGAAAUGCGUAGAUAUCUGGAGGAAUACCGGUGGCGAAGGCGGCAUCCUGGACCAUUACUGACGCUGAUGCGCGAAAGCUAGGGGAGCAAACGGG
rnacentral:rRNA from 1 species